UAGCUACGGGAGGCAGCAGUGGGGAAUAUUGCACAAUGGGGGGAACCCUGAUGCAGCCAUGCCGCGUGAAUGAAGAAGGCCUUCGGGUUGUAAAGUUCUUUCGGUGACGAGGAAGGUUGAUAGGUUAAUAGCCUAUCAAAUUGACGUUAAUCACAGAAGAAGCACCGGCUAACUCCGUGCCAGCAGCCGCGGUAAUGCUA
rnacentral:rRNA from 1 species